GACCAAGCUUUUUAUGCUCUGGGCUAGUAUAAUAGUAACUCUUGUUGCCAUAGAUAGAGUAGUAGCUCCUCCAACCUAUGUGCUUUCAUAGCUGUGGAGUAGCGGUCCACUUUGUUUCUUUCAGAGCUGGAGUAGAUGUUCUCGUCUCACUAGGUUAUUAUGAGAGUCCAAGAAGGUCGAUCGAUGUCGGUAGUAUGCUUGAUGCAGCCCCUUAGACGAGAGUGUAGUUCUCUGUGCCAUCCUCGUAGUGGUUUUGUGCGAGUAGUCUAGUGAACCAGAAGACCAGGCCCCAGAAGCCAUCGAGUUC
rnacentral:lncRNA from 1 species